CAGUGCCCAUGAAUUUAAAUGCUAUGCUAAUAGGUCCAUUAAACAAGUGAUUAUUAUGCACUGGAGGGUCUCCUAUAGAAGGUGGCGGGUCAUGUUGACCCAAGACGUAAUAUCAAAUCAAGGCACAAUACUGCAUCUGCAAAUUUUGCAGACUGUGCAUGUUAGUAGCCGAGAUAUAAGAUUAGAGAUAAAUCAGCACGAUAUCUCCUAUGAA